rnacentral:rRNA from 1 species
AUUGAACGCUGGCGGCAGGCCUAACACAUGCAAGUCGAACGGUAACAGGAAGACGCUUGCUUCUUUGCUAACGAGUGGCGGACGGGUGAGUAAUGUCUGGGAAACUGCCUGAUGGAGGGGGAUAACUACUGGAAACGGUAGCUAAUACCGCAUAACGUCGCAAGACCAAAAAGGGGGACCUUCGGGCCUCUUGCCAUCGGAUGUGCCCAGAUGGGAUUAGCUAGUAGGUGGGGUAACGGCUCACCUAGGCGACGAUCCCUAGCUGGUCUGAGAGGAUGACCAGCCACACUGGAACUGAGACACGGUCCAGACUCCUACGGGAGGCAGCAGUGGGGAAUAUUGCACAAUGGGCGCAAGCCUGAUGCAGCCAUGCCGCGUGUAUGAAGAAGGCCUUCGGGUUGUAAAGUACUUUCAGCGGGGAGGAAGGGAGUAAAGUUAAUACCUUUGCUCAUUGACGUUACCCGCAGAAGAAGCACCGGCUAACUCCGUG